rnacentral:rRNA from 1 species
CACGUAGGAGGCGAGCGUUGUCCGGAAUCAUUGGGCGUAAAGAGCGCGCAGGCGGCUUGGCAAGUCGGGUGUGAAAUCCCGGGGCUCAACCCCGUGACUGCAUCCGAUACUGUCAGGCUAGAGGUAGGUAGGGGAGCGUGGAAUUCCUGGUGUAGCGGUGAAAUGCGCAGAGAUGCGGAGGAACACCGAUGGCGAAGGCAGCCCCCUGGGCUAGCACUGACGCUCAGGCACGAAAGCGUGGGGAGCAAACAGG